UACGGAGGGUGCAAGCGUUAAUCGGAAUUACUGGGCGUAAAGCGCACGCAGGUGGCUGAGAAAGUCGAUUGUGAAAGCCCAGGGCUCAACCCUGGAAUUGCCUUUAAGACUGCAUCGCUUGAAUUGUGGAGAGGUAAGUGGAAUUCCGAGUGUAGAGGUGAAAUUCGUAGAUAUUCGGAAGAACACCAGUGGCGAAGGCGACUUACUGGACACAUAUUGACGCUGAGGUGCGAAAGCGUGGGGAGCAAACAGG
rnacentral:rRNA from 1 species